rnacentral:rRNA from 1 species
AGUGAACGCUGGCGGCGUGCCUAAUACAUGCAAGUCGAACGGAGAUUAAGUAGCUUGCUAUUUAAUCUUAGUGGCGCACGGGUGAGUAAUAUAUAGCUAACUUGCCCAUUACUAAGGGACAACAGUUGGAAACGACUGCUAAUACCUUAUACUCCGUAUCUAUAUAAGUAGAUACGGGAAAGUUUUUCGGUAAUGGAUAGGGCUAUAUCGUAUCAGCUAGUUGGUAAGGUAAUGGCUUACCAAGGCUAUGACGCGUAACUGGUCUGAGAGGAUGAUCAGUCACACUGGAACUGAGACACGGUCCAGACUCCUACGGGAGGCAGCAGUAGGGAAUAUUGCUCAAUGGGGGAAACCCUGAAGCAGCAACGCCGCGUGGAGGAUGACACUUUUCGGAGCGUAAACUCCUUUUCUUGGGAAAGAAUUAUGACGGUACCCAAGGAAUAAGCACCGGCUAACUCCGUGCCAGCAGCUGCGGUAAUACGGAGGGUGCAAGCGUUACUCGGAAUCACUGGGCGUAAAGGACGCGUAGGCGGAUUAUCAAGUCUCUUGUGAAAUCUAACGGCUUAACCGUUAAACUGCUUGAGAAACUGAUAAUCUAGAGUAAGGGAGAGGCAGAUGGAAUUCUUGGUGUAGGGGUAAAAUCCGUAGAGAUCAAGAAGAAUACCCAUUGCGAAAGCGAUCUGCUGGAACUUAACUGACGCUAAUGCGUGAAAGCGUGGGGAGCAAACAGG